rnacentral:lncRNA from 1 species
GAUUUGGGAAGGAGCUCGGAAUGGAGCCGCUGGAAGAGGAGACGCGUGCGGGGAGAGGGCCCGGGCGGGUGCCUGUCCCGUCCACACUUAGUCCCCGCGCCCCGCGGGCGCCUGAGAUUGUGAGCUGGUCCCGGGAGAUGUCCGAGGACCUCGGCGCGCCGGCCCCAGCAGUGGGCACGGGGGAAGAGGGCUGGUGGACGGGAUGUCCCCGGGAGAGCUGGACUUGCGCCGCCCGAGGCCCCUCACCUCUUGCAGGGCGCGCCGCCUCCGGCCCCGGUCCGGUCGCGCUGUCGCCGGUUCUUGAACCAGUUGCUGACCUGCGUGAGCGACAGGCCGGUGUCUAUACACGCCCCGCGGAGCAGACGGCCCACCUCCUCCCGGUCCUCCGGGGAAGGGGACACAUGAGGGACUCACCUGUGGCUCCCUCUGCCUGCAGCAACUCCAUCCGCUCCUGCAACUGCCGGACGUGUGCCUCUAGGUCCCGGUUCCGAGCCUCUGCCUCGCGUAGUUGACUGUGGGGAGGUAAGGACGGUGAGUCCGUCCGGGCCGGACGAGAGGGGAUGCCAAGGGUUGCCACCGGCCCGCAUCCCGGCCCCGGCCCCGGCCCCGAUCCCGACCUGGCGAAGUUCUGGUUGUCCGUGCGGAUGGCCUCCAUCUCCCGGCUCAGGCUCUGCCGGGUGAGCACCUCCUCCUCCAGGGCUUCCUGGAGCUCCCGCAGCGUCACCUCGGCCUCAGCCUCUGCCGCAGGGACAGCCGCUGGAACUGCCACUUCAGCCUGUGUAUGGGGACCAGGCUUAAGGCUGCCUGUGGCUCCUGGAAGAC